rnacentral:tRNA from 1 species
UCCCUGGAGGACUAAUGGUUAGGCCUUGGUGCUCUCACCGCUGCAGACAGGGUUCGAUUCCUGGCCAGGGAA